AAAUAAAAAAACACAUCCAGGUGAACAAGUGAACAUCUUCUUCUGCCAUUUCUCUUCUUUCGCUAGGUAUCACAAGGGAGAUUAAAAGCAAGGAACAUGGCAAAUUGGAAAUGUUAGACCUUGGCGGUGUAGAUUGACAGCAAAGAGGGAGCAAACUCGACAUCUUCGAGCUGGUCUUUGAGAGAUCAAUGGCAUUGAACUACACGACUCGGUGACAUGAUGAGCAAGUUUCGACGAAAGCAAUACACAUAAAGAUGGGCUGGGCUUGACGGCAACUUCAAGCGAUGAACGGACAAGCUUGCGUGGUGAGGAGAGAACUAAAUCGUGGGGGGUUUGCUAGACUGCUCAAUCUCUAAUGGUGGGGGUCCAUCGAUUAUUAAAAAGGGUCGGGAUUCGAUUGACUUAGGGAUUGAACAGAAGGUAGUGAGAAGAGAGCAGAUCGAGGAAGAAAGGGGACGGAGACGAUGGUGGAUUCUUCAUCGAAGGUAUUGUUGCACUCAAGCACUCUUCUUCUACUUGUGCACCUUGUGUCUGUGAUUGCUCUUCUAAACCCGUCCUCUCUACACCCCAAGUUUACUGGAAACAUGUUCUGAAUGAACUUUCACCUUCUUUGCUGCGAGUUGUUGCCGCUGUCAGACCUUUGCUGUCGCUAGUAUUGACUGAGUUUGCCAUUGUCAGUUGCCAGAAGUUGCCACCAGAGAUGAGUAGAUGUGUUGUCGUUAGAAGCUUUUUAGUUUGCAGCGCCACUCUCCUGGCCUCAUAGGUCAUGCUGCAAUGUCUGGUUUGCAUCGUUCGAAAAGGCUGCAAAUUCGUUGGAGAUGGCUAUAGACAGAGAGAGCUCUAGGACCGUUGGAGAUGGAUGCUGGCGCGUCGUCGGCACCGUCCGUCCAUCAAUGUCCGGUGCCUUCUACUUCUGGUUUGUGCUUUUACAGUCCGAUGGCUGGAGAAGAAGCAGGAAUUGCGUCAGAGAAGUGGAUCCUGGGGAUCUAUUUCUUUAAGACAGGCUAGUUUUUUUGUUUUGUUUGGGCUUGGCACAUUAAAAAAAAACCGCCCAACGUGUGAAAUUUUUACUCAAGUGAGAUGCAAUUGGGCUUUACCUCAGCCCAGUACAAUAUAUAAUUAAAAAAAAUCAAGUUUUGUAAAUCACAUUUUGGCCGAGACCAAAAUUACCUCCUGGGCCCAUAAUUAUUUAUAUUUAUGUCUUGACCCCAAAUAAUUUUUAUCAAUUACAUAUUAGUCCCUUAACUUUUAAAA